GCUCCCGUAGCUCAGUGGAUAGAGCAUCUGCCUUCUAAGCAGAGGGCCGCUGGUUCGAGUCCAGCCGGGGGCA
rnacentral:tRNA from 1 species